CCCUUAGAUGUCCUGGGCCGCACGCGCGUUACACUGAUGCAUUCAACGAGCUUAUAACCUUGGCCGAGAGGCCUGGGCAAUCUUGUUAACGUGCAUCGUGAUAGGGAUAGAUUAUUGAAAUUAUUAAUCUUGAACGAGGAAUUCCUAGUAAACGCAGAUCAUCAUUCUGCGUUGAUUACGUCCCUGCCCUUUGUACACACCGCCCGUCGCACCUACCGAUUGAAUGAUCCGGUGAAGCCUCGGGAUUGUGCCCAGAGAACUUUAUUGUGAUUUGGGUGUGAGAACUUGUCUAAACCUUAUCAUUUAGAGGAAGGUGAAGUCGUAACA
rnacentral:rRNA from 1 species